rnacentral:rRNA from 1 species
GUGGGGAAUUUUGGACAAUGGGCGCAAGCCUGAUCCAGCAAUGCCGCGUGCAGGAAGAAGGCCUUCGGGUUGUAAACUGCUUUUGUACGGAACGAAACGGUCCUGGUUAAUACCUGGGGCUAAUGACGGUACCGUAAGAAUAAGCACCGGCUAACUACGUGCCAGCAGCCGCGGUAAUACGUAGGUUGCGAGCGUUAAUCGGAAUUACUGGGCGUAAAGCGUGCGCAGGCGGUGCUGUAAGACAGGCGUGAAAUCCCCGGGCUCAACCUGGGAAUUGCGCUUGGGACUGCAGUGCUGGAGUACGGCAGAGGGGGAUGGAAUUCCGCGUGUAGCAGUGAAAUGCGUAGAUAUGCGGAGGAACACCGAUGGCGAAGGCAGUCCCCUGGGCCUGUACUGACGCUCAUGCACGAAAGCGUGGGGAGCAAACAGGAUUAGAUACCCUUGUAGUCC